GACAGAGGGUGCAAACGUUGCUCGGAAUUACUGGGCGUAAAGCGCGUGUAGGCGGGCUGAUAAGUCGGACGUGAAAUCCCUGGGCUCAACCCAGGAACUGCAUCCGAAACUGUCAGUCUGGAGUGGUGGAGAGGGAAGCAGAAUUCCUGGUGUAGAGGUGAAAUUCGUAGAUAUCGGGAGGAACACCAGUGGCGAAGGCGGCCUUCUGGACAGUGACUGACGCUGAGACGCGAAAGCGUGGGGAGCAAACAGG
rnacentral:rRNA from 1 species